rnacentral:tRNA from 1 species
UAAAUAAGAAACAAAUUAUUGUAUUUAGUUUCGACCUAACCUUUGGUGGCACCACCCUUAUUU